rnacentral:rRNA from 1 species
GACGAACGCUGGCGGCGUGCUUAACACAUGCAAGUCGACGGAAAGGCCCUGCUUUUGUGGGGUGCUCGAGUGGCGAACGGGUGAGUAACACGUGAGUAACCUGCCCUUGACUUUGGGAUAACUUCAGGAAACUGGGGCUAAUACCCGAUAGGAGCUCCUGCUGCAUGGUUGGGGUUGGAAAGGUUCGGCGGGUGGGGAUGGACUCGCGGCUUAUCAGCUUGUUGGUGGGGUAGUGGCUUACCAAGGCUUUGACGGGUAGCCGGCCUGAGAGGGUGACCGGCCACAUUGGGACUGAGAUACGGCCCAGACUCCUACGGGAGGCAGCAGUGGGGAAUAUUGCACAAUGGGCGGAAGCCUGAUGCAGCAACGCCGCGUGCGGGAUGACGGCCUUCGGGUUGUAAACCGCUUUCGCCUGUGACGAAGCGUGAGUGACGGUAAUGGGUAAAGAAGCACCGGCUAACUACGUG